UCUCAUUUUUCUGCUCCUUCCUUGCCCACUUGCACUACCCUGGACAGAGGGAGGAAGUAGAACACUCGCAGAUCCUUCUGUAGGUGUGGACACCACCGCUGGCUGCAUUGUGAGCAUGCUGUGUGAACUGCGCAUGUAUGAUCUUGGGCCAUAGCUGUACACUGAGUUGGCUGUGUUUUUUCCCCCCCAGAGUCUUUUCCACCUGAAACCCUAAGCUUCCAUUGUGAUUCUCAAAUUGACACCCCCUCCCAUCCAUUCUUUUUUUUUUUCUUUUUUAAAUUAGCAUUUAAAACUUCAGUAGCUCAGCAGUACUGUUUAUUUAAGUGAACUAUUUCACAUGUAAGAAAGGGAAUAAGGGCCAUCCAGGAAGACCUUCAUACACCUCGCUCACACACCCGCAGAGCUCUGAAGGGCUCUUCAAUCCUGUGGAAGGGUUGACAUCCAUCACUUGUGUGCCUGUCUUCCAUCUUGAAUGUGAAACAUCGUAAAUUUGCGAUAUCAGUCUAGGCACGCAGAGUUUGCAAGUCUGUGUUGGUGCAUUGUAUGUAAGGGAGCCUUAUCUUUUGCCACCCAUUUUUUUUUUCUCUCAGCUUACGUUUGCAAGAUCUGUGGUGAUCCUUAUAGCCCUGUUUCAUUAAUAUUAAUUGCUAUGUGGCUUCUACUUGUAAAUAUACCAGGGAGGGGCAACUUCAGGGUGGGUGAGCCUCUGCUGAGCGGCCUCAGCAAGUACCUGUCGCCUUGGAAGCAAUGGUGGCUGGGAACAUUGAGAAGCCCACACUUGUAUUUUAUUCUGAUUUUCAAAGGCAAUAACCUUCAGCAGGGUCCUUUUUAGACAUGUGGAAACUGAGGCUUGGCAACUCUAAGCAGAUUCCCUGAGAUACACGGGGACCCUCAACCCCCUGUUCUUUAAUCGCUUCUUCCCAGCAUGGAGGCCCCAGUGGCUUCUUUCGGCAUCUAGAAUAGGUCCUGAGAACAAGCCUGGGACAGAAACAGGUAUGAUGGAAAUUCACUCACUUAAUAUUUAUAAAAGAGCCUUGAAGUGGGGGAAUAAAGUUGGGGAAAUGGAAGCUUAGCCGGGGAAACGUUUAUGGCUCACGGACAGACACGCCGAGAGUUCGGCACAGUGCUCACCCAGCAGCCGGGGCCUCUCCUGUGCUAACUUCUCUUCUUUUUAGGGACGAGAAGUUUCCUUACCCCUACUGGAGCUCCAUGGCUGCUCGCACUUUCUGUGAACUGAUACUGGGCUAUGGUCUGUCUCCUCAGCUGCACCCCCAUAGGCUCCCUGCAGAGUGACCUCUCCUGCCUUUGAUGCAAAUUCCUGCACUUUCCAGAUAAUAUUCUGGGCUCUUCUUAACACGAGGGGGGUCAGCCGAGCCGUAGCUCGGCAAUUUAUAAUUCUUGAAAAUUCUGUUUGGUGACAUGAGUUAGCAUUUAAUAGACACCCUGCCACCUCCUCUUUCCCUAUUGUGACAAGCUCCUGGCAGAAUCCUUUUGAGACUCAAGGUAAUUGCACCACGCUGCGAAAAGGGAAGACCGUGUUGCGCUCGAGUGCGUCUCAAAAACGUCUCCACAAUAGACAGUCAGGUACGAGUUUGCUGGGCUUCAAGGUAAUGAUUUAAACUUAAUUUGACCCUUGAUGAGGGAGCCAGUGUUUCCGGUCAGAUGUAGUCUUUGGUUUGGGCUUGCCUGCCAUGCCUUCAGCAGCAACAAAAAUAAUUCCUUGGUAACAAGUGCCUUUCUGAGGAUGUCUGCUGCUGACAGCUAAUAUAGAAUUAUUGCCCCUGAAUGCAUUUCUGUAAUUACUUCCCAGAGAUCUGUCUUUGUGUUAGAAGACAUUUCGCACUUUAGUAACAUAAGUGUUUGGGGAGGGUACGAACAAUAAUUAUGCACAGUCUUUCCAUGAAAAUAAACC
rnacentral:lncRNA from 1 species